CGGGACUUGCUUAAUUGAAGCCCUGCAACGAAUCGGAGUGCCCAGUGGGCCAUUUUUGGUAAGCAGAACUGGCGAUGUGGGAUGAACCAAACGUCGGGUUAAAGUGCCAAAGUGGACGCUCAUCAGAUCCCAUGAAAGGUGUUGCUACCUUAAGACAGCAGGACGGUGGCCAUGGAAGUCGGAACCCGCUAAGGAGUGUGUAACAACUCACCUGCCGAAGGUACUAGCCCUGAAAAUGGAUGGCGCUAAAGCGUCCCACUUAUACCCGACCGUUUUCGCAGAGCAGUCCCCAUGCGGACCCAACGCGAAAACGAGUAGGAAGGUCGCAGGGGUGGCGCCGAAGCCUUUUGAGUGUGAACUUGGGUGGAGCCGCCCCUGGUGCAGAUCUUGGUGAUAGUAGCAAAUACUCCAGAGAGGCCCUGGAGGACCGAUGUGGAGAAGGGUUUCGUGUGAACAGCUGUUGGACACGAGUCAGUCGAUCCUAAGGCUUAGCGGAAGCGUUAAUCAAACGUUUGGCGAUUUCACAGUAAUAUGAGAGAAACCAAAUCGUAGCCGAAAGGGAAUGUGGUCCAUAUUCCACAACCUGGUAGCGUAACCUGUCGGACCCUCGUAUCCGUCGUGGCAACACGAAACGACCCAAAGACGCCCACCGAAACUCUGGGAAGAGUUGUCUUUUCUGCAUAAGCCGCCGAGCCCCUGGAAUCCUCUCGCAGGGAGAAUGGGUUUUGGUAUUUGGCGAAGAGUGCUGCAGUUCUCGCAGCAUCCACGAGCGGUCGGUGGGACCUUGAAAAUUUGGGUGUAGGUGACGGCGAUUUCGCACCAGCUCGUACCCAUAUCCGCAGCAGGUCUCCAAGGUUAACAGCCUCUGGUCGAUAGAAUAAUGUAGGUAAGGGAAGUCGGCAAAUUGGAUCCGUAACUUCGGGAUAAGGAUUGGCUCUGAGGGUCGGGGAGGUCGGGCUUUGCGCAGGAAGCGACUGUUUCUACCGGCGGGCCUGAGUAAGUCCUUCGGGGCGAACUCGGUCCCGUUCUCAGGACUUCGUGGAUUGCCAUUGCUUCGCUGCCCCCAGGUUUCGGCCUGGGUGUGCAGUUCGACCUUCGAUCAACGACCGGCUCAGAACUGGCACGGACAAGGGGAAUCCGACUGUCUAAUUAAAACAAAGCAUUGCGAUGGUCAGAGAGUGAUGCUGACGCAAUGUGAUUUCUGCCCAGUGCUCUGAAUGUCAAUGUGAAGAGAUUCGUUUAAGCGCGGGUAAACGGCGGAAGUAACUAUGACUUUCUUAAGGUAGCCAAAUGCCUCGUCAUCUAAUUAGUGACGCGCAUGAAUGGAUUAACGAGAUUCCCACUGUCCCUAUCUACUAUCUAGCGAAAUCGCAGCCAAGGGAACGGACUUGGGAAAAUCAGCGGGGAAAGAAGACCCUGUUGAGUUUGACUCUAGUCUCCUAUUGUGGAGGAGCAUCUCUGGCGUAGAAUAGGGAGGAGGCUUUGCCGCCAGUGAAAUACUCCUACGGAGAUCGCUCCUCUGCUUACUCGGUGAGGCGGGGUACAGAGACUUUUGUCUUUGUUUUCUCGAAUCAAGCGCGGGAGCUUUGUCUCCUGUGCGAUCCGCUCCGAGGACAUUGCGAGGCGGGGAGUUUGACUGGGGCGGUACAUCUGUCAAAUGAUAACGCAGGUGUCCUAAGGCCAGCUCAGUGAGGACGGAAACCUCACGUAGAGCAUAAGGGCAAAUGCUGGCUUGACCUCUCCCUUCAGUACGGGGCGAGGAGCAGAAAUGUCGGCCUAACGAUCCUCUUUAUUUCGGAGUUUGAAGAAAGAGGUGUCAGAAAAAUUACCACAGGGAUAACUGGCUUGUGGCCGCCAAGAGUUCAAAUCGACGUGGCUUUUUGAUCCUUCGAUGUCGGCUCUUCCUAUCAUUGCGAAGCAGAAUUCGCACAGCGUCGGAUUGUUCACCCGCUAAUAGGGAACGUGAGCUGGGUUUAGACCGUCGUGAGACAGGUUAGUUUUACCCUACUGAUAACUCGUCGUUGCGAUAGUAAUCCUGCUCAGUACGAGAGGAACCGCAGGUUCGGACAUUUGGUAUACGUACUUAGCCGAUAGGCUAAUGGUGCGAAGCUCAGUCCCUAGGAUUAUGCCUGAACGCCUCUAAGGCAGAAUCCUGUCUAGUCACGGCAACGAUACUGUCGGACCUCCUUUUUGCUCGGGGAAGGAUAGUCUUUGACUCCAUCCCGAUCCAAGGAACUUUGUUUUGUGCUGUAAGUGCGCUUAACUCUCCUGAUCACCCACUUGGCAGAGUGGAGGUCCCAAAUCGUCUGUAGACGACUUAUGUACCGACCGAGGUGUCGUACUUAGUAGAGCGGCUAUCACACCGCGAUCUAUUGAGACUCAGCCUUUUUGAUCGGAAGAUUUG
rnacentral:rRNA from 1 species